AUGAUUAAAGAUAGCUUGCUAUUUUUAUGAAGAGCGGCGAACGGGUGAGUAACGCGUGGGAAAUCUGCCGAGUAGCGGGGGACAACGUUUGGAAACGAACGCUAAUACCGCAUAACAAUGAGAAUCGCAUGAUUCUUAUUUAAAAGAAGCAAUUGCUUCACUACUUGAUGAUCCCGCGUUGUAUUAGCUAGUUGGUAGUGUAAAGGACUACCAAGGCGAUGAUACAUAGCCGACCUGAGAGGGUGAUCGGCCACACUGGGACUGAGACACGGCCCAGACUCCUACGGGAGGCAGCAGUAGGGAAUCUUCGGCAAUGGGGGCAACCCUGACCGAGCAACGCCGCGUGAGUGAAGAAGGUUUUCGGAUCGUAAAACUCUGUUGUUAGAGA
rnacentral:rRNA from 1 species